CCCAGGUGUGAAUCAACACUGGCACAUUAUAUCAAAAUUAAGGAUGGUGGCUGAAGCUCAUCUCCUAUGUAAACACCUAAAUGCCAAGUCUGGACUUCAAAAACAGAUUCUGAAAGUUUAACCAGCAUUAUGGACAAAAAGUAUACACUUUGAACAGACACAAAAACAUAUAGGUCCAUGCCAAGCUAUGAAAGAUUUAUGCUGAGGGUAAGUUCUAUUAUUAUAUAGAAUUUAAUUGUCAGACAUAUGGUUAUGUCUAAAAUUUUACUGUUGUAUUUAUAUCAGUGAUAAGCAAUAUUUUGCACCUGAGCUGACUUACAUGUAAUCACAAAAAAAUGUUAUAACUAAUUAGAUAACCUGAGUCAGUCAUGACCUAUUGCUAUCUGUUUUUAGCUCACCUGAGCUGAAAGCUCAAGUGAGCUUUUGCUGAUCACAUUUUGUCUGUAGUCUGUCUAGCUGUCCGUCUGUCUGUAAACUUUCACAUUUUCGACUUCUU